GAAGAAGAGGAGGACAUAGUCACAGAGAACGGGAGAAGAAAGAGAAGUUACCAGAGAGGCCUAAAUAAAAGGGCCAAGGAAACAACAAUAUCCACUGAGGAAGUGGAGACACUGUCAUCUUGUACAAGGUCCAGCUGCAGGCAUGCCAGUGUGGAGGCAGACAUAGACCUGACCCAGCCUGCUCAGCAGAAUCGAUGCAGGACAAUGGAUCUUUACACCAGGCAAACUUUGAAGACCUUAGGGCAGCACAUGUCAUCUGUCAGCGUCCAAGUGCACCAGUACAGGUCAGACAUGACCCUUGACCCUAAAGAGGUCAGAGUUUCUGCCCGGUAACACAUCUG
rnacentral:lncRNA from 1 species